rnacentral:rRNA from 1 species
GACGAACGCUGGCGGCGUGCUUAACACAUGCAAGUCGAACGGAAAGGCCCUGCUUGCAGGGUACUCGAGUGGCGAACGGGUGAGUAACACGUGGGUGAUCUGCCCUGCACUUCGGGAUAAGCCUGGGAAACUGGGUCUAAUACCGGAUAGGAGCCAUUUUUAGUGUGAUGGUUGGAAAGUUUUUUCGGUGUAGGAUGAGCUCGCGGCCUAUCAGCUUGUUGGUGGGGUAAUGGCCUACCAAGGCGGCGACGGGUAGCCGGCCUGAGAGGGUGGACGGCCACAUUGGGACUGAGAAACGGCCCAGACUCCCACGGGAGGCAGCAGUGGGGAAUAUUGAACAAUGGGCGUAAGCCUGAUGCAGGGACGCCGCGUGGGGGAUGACGGCCUUGGGGUUGUAAACGCCUUUCGCUAGGGACGAAGCUGUUUGUGACGGUACCUAGAUAAGAAGCACCGGGUAACUACGUG